rnacentral:rRNA from 1 species
UACGAAGGGGGCGAGCGUUGUUCGGAUUUACUGGGCGUAAAGGGCGCGUAGGCGGCGUGGGAAGUCAGGCGUGAAAGCCCCGGGCUCAACCUGGGAACUGCGCUUGGGACUCUCAGGCUGGAGUUCGGGAGAGGAGCGUGGAAUUCCCAGUGUAGAGGUGAAAUUCGUAGAUAUUGGGAAGAACACCGGUGGCGAAGGCGGCGCUCUGGACCGAGACUGACGCUGAGGCGCGAAAGCGUGGGGAGCAAACAGG